GUCACACGUGCAGCAUCAGAGGAAAAAAGAUAAAGAGGAGUCCAAGAGAAGAAUAAACAGGCGUUGGAGUUUCAGAUGGAGAAAGAGAGAAAGCACUAGAG